GUGGAAUAACCAAAGAAAAAUAAAAAAGAACAUAGAGAUAAAAGCCUCUCUUAUAGACAGAGAGAGAAAGCAUGAGCACCUCCUCCUCUGUUUCCAUUUCCACAAUCCUUAUUGUUAGAUCUUAGUUUCUCAUCUGGUCCUCUCUAAAAUGGAUUCUGGGUUGAGUUCUGAUUGGUUAUAGGAUAUCAAAUGAUCCAAGAUUGGAUUUAACAAAUACCCACUUCAACUUUUUGAUUGGGCACCAAUCAGAUUCUAUCUUUAUUAUCAUAUAAGGAAAAGAUGGAAUCAGAUCUUGGUAAGCUCUUCAUUGGUGGGAUUUCAUGGGACACUGAUGAGGAACGUCUGAAGGAAUAUUUUAGCAAGUAUGGGGAAGUGGUGGAGGCGGUGAUCAUGAGAGAUAGAAC
rnacentral:misc_RNA from 1 species